GCACUACACUCUUAAAAAAAAGGGUUCCUCAAGGUUCUAUAUUGAACCCUUGGGUUCCGUACUUGGCCAAUAGAACCUUUUACCAAAAAAAUGGUUCUAUUUAGAACCCUUGCAUGCAAAGAACCCUUUUUUUAUUAAAAUGGUUCUAUUAUUCAUGUUUUAUGACUGAAGUGUAAACUAAAGAUUACACUAUAAUUAUCCUUACUCAACACAUUCACAAAGCAUUUUGAGUCAAGACCCAUGAGAAUGACUGCUGUAGUCAAAAAGAUUAAUAUCUACUCAAUGUAUGAUUUGAGCUGUACAUUAGCAUGAAAAUUAUAUUACUUUACAUUAUAGUUUACCUUUUUGACGAAUCAAUUUGUGAAGAAAAACAAACUAACCAGGAGUUUUCUUUAUUUUGUUUACCAUAUUGUGAUUGUUUUAAUCUACCUAAGGGAACAUUAAAAAACAAAUAAUCAUAAAAAGACCCCUCCCCGGUGGCAUAUAUGCGUUGCGUCAUCCUUGAAUUCCUAUUGGUGGAUGGGCGAAGAUGAAUCGCGAGAGGAGUCGAGGCAAGUGACAGUUAAUUUUUCAAACUGAGGAGUCCGCCAUUUCUGCUCGUUCAUACACUAAGAUAACCAUGGUUGAUAAAUGGUCAGUAGAUGACACGUGCCACUGGCUUGAAACUAUAAACCUCAUUGAUGCAAAAUAAAGUUUCAGAGAUUCUGCAUGAAAUGACAAUGAGGUUUGAACCGACUUGGCGAAGAACAUGGAAACAUUUCAGAAUGGAAUGGCCCCAAACAUCAUCAGGAGUGCAAAAGAAGGAAGUCAAAAAAAAAACAAAAAAACUACGCCAAUCUCAUUGGACUAGCAGAGGAAACCACAGAAGGUCUCGUUAGGAAUGCUGCACUCAUUUUAUUGCCAGCACUAUUUAAAGAAAACGCCAGCUUCCUCUACUGUGUAGAUAGUGAACCCAAAGGUGCUACACCAACCAUAGUGUUUAACGGCUCUCCUGAUCCCCUCAAGGCUGAAAGUGUCAGCAUAAUAAUGGACAAUGUGAACAUCAUAAGAGAGGCAGACAUUGACAUGACACAGGCUGUGGAAUGCCUAUUUGCAGUCUAUUUUCUCUUCAAUGUGCAGUACCCGGUUGACAUUAAGCACACAAUGACUUUUAUUUAAAAAUAUAUGCUUAACCUUAGACAACAGCACGGCAAAAGAACACCAAUACCUGUACUGAAAAUGUAUAGUCAACUUGUGUAAAUUGUAGAGCUAUUUAAUAGUUGUUUUAACUGUUCAUGUAUUGAUUUUUAUCUGCACUGUUAAAUAUAAAAAAUGAUUUGUUUUUCCUCAUUUCAGAGAUAUAUGUAAAAGUGAAGUACUGUAUAUGUACGUAAACAAGCUUAUGUAUGUUUAUUGCAAAGUGAAAAUGCUUAAAUGAAAUAAUUCAAACUAAAUGGUUAAAUGUAAUUAAACAUCUUAAAUGUGAAAUUUGCUGUCUAACACAGAGUAUACAGAGGUGUAAUUUUAAAUGACACUAAAUUUUUUGUAUAAACAGUUGAAUAAAUUGAAACAUUUUAAA